rnacentral:rRNA from 1 species
GGGGUGUAAAGCUCUUUCGGCAGGGAAGAUAGUGACGGUACCUGCAGAAGCAGCUGCGGCUAACUACGUGCCAGCAGCCGCGGUAAUACGUAGGCAGCAAGCGUUGUUCGGAGUUACUGGGCGUAAAGGGUGCGUAGGCGGCCUUUUAAGUUUGUCGUGAAAUCUCCCGGCUCAACUGGGAGGGUGCGGCGGAUACUGAAAGGCUGGAGUGCGGGAGAGGAGAGUGGAAUUCCUGGUGUAGCGGUGAAAUGCGUAGAUAUCAGGAGGAACACCGGCGGUGUAGACGGCUCUCUGGACCGUAACUGACGCUGAGGCACGAAAGCGUGGGUAGCAAACAGGAUUAGAUACCCUGGUAGUCCACGCCCUAAACGAUGCACACUUGGUGUGGGCCGUUCAGUCGGUCCGUGCCGGAGCUAACGCGUUAAGUGUGCCGCCUGGGGAGUACAGUCGCAAGGCUGAAACUCAAAGGAAUUGACGGGGGCCCGCACAAGCGGUGGAGCAUGUGGUUCAAUUCGACGCAACGCGAAGAACCUUACCUGGGCUCGAACGGCCCCUCAACGGCGCUGGAAACAGCGCUAUCCCGCAAGGGAGUGGGGUCGAGGUGCUGCAUGGCUGUCGUCAGCUCGUGUCGUGAGAUGUUGGGUUAAGUCCCGCAACGAGCGCAACCCUUGUCCUGUGUUACCAGACCCGCAAGGGAG